GACGAACGCUGGCGGCGUGCCUAAUACAUGCAAGUCGAGCGGACAGAAGGGAGCUUGCUCCCGGAAGUUAGCGGCGGACGGGUGAGUAACACGUGGGCAACCUACCCUGUAGAUCGGGAUAACAUCGAGAAAUCGGUGCUAAUACCGGAUAAUCAUAUGAAGUGAAUGCUUAGAAUGUAAAAGAUGGCUCCGGCUAUCACUACGGGAUGGGCCCGCGGCGCAUUAGCUAGUUGGUAAGGUAAUGGCUUACCAAGGCAACGAUGCGUAGCCGCCCUGGGAGGGUGAUCGGCCACACUGGGACUGAGACACGGCCCAGACUCCUACGGGAGGCAGCAGUAGGGAAUCUUCCGCAAUGGACGAAAGUCUGACGGAGCAACGCCGCGUGAGUGAUGAAGGUUUUCGGAUCGUAAAGCUCUGUUGUUAGGGAAGAACAAGUGCCGUUUGAAUAAGGCGGCACCUUGACGGUACCUAACCAGAAAGCCACGGCUAACUACGUGCCAGCCGCCGCCGUAA
rnacentral:rRNA from 1 species